rnacentral:ncRNA from 1 species
UGGUUACAACGGCUUCCUGACGUGACCAAAUUUGAAUAAUGGAGCG